rnacentral:lncRNA from 1 species
AUGGUGGAGGAGAUCAAGGGAAAGUGUCUGUGCACAUGCAAAGAGAGAUCAAACCCGAGGUAUCUCCAAAUCGCAGUUUCCCUAAAGCACUUCUGGGCUGAUAUGUCUCCUUCAUUUCUGCAAUACCAUCUACACCCAUUCUACAUUAUGGUUUUCUCCAUUUUAUUUUGUCAGACCACACUUACUUUUUUUUCAUGUCAAUUAAAAAAACUAUCUUCUGAUGGCCCCCUCCUGAUUUUCUAUCUUGUAUCAUUUUCAUUUAUCAUCAUUUAAUUGGUUUUCAGGAAGAAGAGGCAGUAAAUAUAUGUGCUCAGUUAGCUAGCUUUAAUCAAAAAUCCUAAAUGUAGGUUUUAAAAAAGAUAUCUGGAGCAGGGUGGGAAAUUAUAUUUUUUGCCAGUGUGGUGGCAAAAAAUAAAAAUCUGAAUCGGUGUUAGGACAGUAUUUCUGUGUUUACCUUAGUGCUUAGUAACGUGACUCUCCAGAUCCACAUAUUAAGGACACCAUGUAUUUCAGACACCUACUUCAAACCUCACUUUACAGUUAAGUAAGACCAGAAUUAGAAUGAUUUGCCCGAGGCCACACAAGUAGACAGUGGGAUAUUGAGAACAGAAAGAUCUAUUGACUCCUAGUUAACUUUUCUCUUACCUUACCACACUGUUAGGGAGUAACAAGAUGGGGGGACCGCGAGUCAGAUGAGAAAGGUCAUGAAAAAUAGUUAAAGGAUGACUUUUCCUGGGUAAUUAGCCGGAUGUCCAAGAAAUGAAAUGCUGGUCUGGCAGCACAUCGUCUAACAGUUGGUAGUCAUAUGCAGGAAGUACUGUAGGGGGAGAUGACAGCAGGCCCAGGAACUGCAACGAUCCAAGUGAGAGUCGAUCCUGGGAGCGAACAAUUACAGAGUCCGGGCAGGAUGAAACAGUAGAAACUGGUGAGUGAAUGAAUGUGAACGCUGAGGAGCGACUGGAAUUUGUUGGAGGGAUUAUGAGGCAACAUAAAGUGGCUAAUUAUGGUGGUUGGGGUAAGCAGGAGUAAAAUGAUGUCGUAACUCCUCUCAAGGACACCAAAAAUUAUUUUAAUAAAACACUGGAAGGCUGGGAAUAAAUAUAAUUCACACCGUUCUUUCUUGGUUUAGAGAUAGCUUAUCUACAUUCUUACAUUAAUGGCUACCCUCUGCAUGGCUGCAAAAAAAAAAAAAAAACCACACACACACACACAAAACAAAAAACAAAACCCGCUGCGAGUCUGCACGAGAAAAUCGGGUUGCCAGACUCUAGGACUCAGCUGCCCGCCCCCUCGCCUAGCUGUCGGAGGCUAAAUAAACAGCUCCCGAAGCAGUGUUUGGCACAGUGCACGGUCGGAGCGUGGACACUAAUUUCCGCCCACGCUCCCCACGUCCUGGUCGGGUCACCACAGAACACGACGUCCAGUACUGGGGUCCUCGACGAUGCCCGUGUGCGCACUCCCGCACAUCUCAGGUCAGAUGACCACUAACUUCGUGGCCACGCUCUGCGAAGCUAAGGGGGAAAAAGCUUCCUUGGCACAAAG